AACACCAAUCAGUGCAUUUGACAUUUUGAAGAUAGUAUAAAUAAAAUACUACACAAACACACUAAAAUUAGCAUUUUUGAUAAUCAAAGCAAUAUUGUAAGAAUUAGUUAGAAUUUUCUACUUGGACAUCAUUUUCUAUUUUUUUAGAACAGGAUGUACAUUAUUUUUUAAUGACUUAUAGACUAGUAGAGAAUGCUUGACUGCAUUUAGAGGUAGAAAAGCCUUUGCUUGCUCGUAAAAACAGUCAGCAGUUGCAGAAUGUUACAGAAUGCUGAUGGUAAAAUGUAUACUUGUUACUCUGAAUGUAAAAUGUAACCACAACACUGCCGGCAACACCUCUUCUUUCCUUUUGUUAUCGUUCAUUUCCUCUUAUCACUGCAAUGCUGCAAUGCAAGGCACUGUAUUUGUGUGUGCCAAUGCCGAGAAUUUCAAUGCACAAUUACUAUCUCAUUAUGUACAAAUCCACAACAGGGAAAAUUACUCAUGUCCCAAAUAACCUUUCAGCUUUUAAAAACCACUGGAAAAUAUCUAGUCUGUGUUUAUUUUUUUUGUUUCUUCUUUUUAUAUAAAGUUCGAUUGUGUUGGAAUAAUGUUAAUUUCAUGGUAGUUUUACCAGUUUUCUUCUUUUACUCAUUGUUUUUAUUAAGUUAAAUACAAAUAAAGAUUACCAUAAGGGAACACUUCAUUUUUCUCCAGAGAAAAAUGCAUGAAAAGAUCAACCAUUUGAUUCCCGUCAAAUGUUUGGCUGCUUUCCUCAGUCCUCCAUAAUGUUAAAUUGUGACGCAGGUAGGAAUCAGCCCCCACCCCCUCACCCCGUGUGACCCGUGCAUCUGUGUGUAAAAGCGUUGCAGUCAUAUUCGCCUGUUUUCACGUGCUCGGAGCAGCAGUGCAGAAAUGCUUGAGCAGAUGAUCAUAGCAAUGGCUGUUCUCCUCACCCUCUUCUAUGCUGAACUUACUGAAUCCUCCUCAAGCUACUGUCUCCAAAAAGCUGAAAUAAAAAGAGUGGAUGAAAAUGCAACAGCAAUUGUGUCCUGUCCAGCACUUGCAGGGAAUGAAAAACCAUCUAUCUCUCUAUACAAGGGAGAUAUAAAACUGCACUCAACAAACAUGAGUGAUGUGGACAGUAAUCAGGGGCAAGGGUUUCAGGUGUACGUACAAAACUCCUCCGUCUCAUAUAAGAUUCAAAGGGUUGAAGCCAGUGACACAGGACUCUACAGUUGCAAAAUCGACACACAGAUCAAGACAUCUGCAUCACAGACUAUAUUGCUCAUUAAAGAUGCUCUGCAGCCCAUAGAAUCAACUGCCACUUGUCCCAUUGAUCAAACGCUGCCACCUGCUUUUGCUGUUACCUGGGCGGUUAUAAUUGCAUAUGAUCUGUUCAUCACUGUCUUGGUCUGUUACCUCAGAGUGAGUAUCCACAUCUGCAACCACAUGUUUACUCACAGAGACACAAUGUUCUAAAGAAAUUCAUAACCAAUUCAAAGUGUUUUUAUUUGGAACCACACAAAAUCAAGGUUUAUAUGUUGUUUCACGUGCUAAAUUACUGAUAUUGUGUUUUAAUUUCAGUAUAAACUCAAGAACACAGAGCAACCUGAGAAUCCCUACAUGAACACAAGACCAAGAGGAUUCCAACGACGCUGAUGAGCUCAGCAGCAUAUAUCCAGCAAAUAUCAGCAGCGUAGCAACAUUUGUACCUCCUAUCAGCUGAGCAGUACUGCCCAGAGUGUAUUAAACAGAUCUACUAAUUGCUCUUGUAUCUAUUGCUGUUCAGUAUAUAUGAUAGAUAUUGUAGUGUAUUCACACUGGGGGUCAAAGGUUUGGAAUAAUUAGGAUUUUUGAUGUUUUUGUAAGAAGUCUCUUAUGCUUGACAAGACUGCAUUUAUUUGAUCAAAAAUCAUGUGAACCAGUGAUACUGUGACAUGUUAUUACAAAAUAACUGUUUUCCAUUUGAAUAUAUUUUAAAAUGUAAAUUAUUCCUGUGAAGACAAAGCUAAAUUUCAGCAGUCAUUACUUACUGAAAUCAUCCGAAAUAUGCUAAUUUGGUGUGGAAGAAACAUUAUUUAUUAGUACGUUUUUAUUAAGAAAUUCAUAAUAAAGCAAGGAUGCAUCAAAUUUCUCA
ensembl:lncRNA